rnacentral:rRNA from 2 species
UAGGGAAUCUUCCGCAAUGGGCGAAAGCCUGACGGAGCAACGCCGCGUGAGUGAUGAAGGUCUUCGGAUCGUAAAACUCUGUUAUUAGGGAAGAACAUACGUGUAAGUAACUAUGCACGUCUUGACGGUACCUAAUCAGAAAGCCACGGCUAACUACGUGCCAGCAGCCGCGGUAAUACGUAGGUGGCAAGCGUUAUCCGGAAUUAUUGGGCGUAAAGCGCGCGUAGGCGGUUUUUUAAGUCUGAUGUGAAAGCCCACGGCUCAACCGUGGAGGGUCAUUGGAAACUGGAAAACUUGAGUGCAGAAGAGGAAAGUGGAAUUCCAUGUGUAGCGGUGAAAUGCGCAGAGAUAUGGAGGAACACCAGUGGCGAAGGCGACUUUCUGGUCUGUAACUGACGCUGAUGUGCGAAAGCGUGGGGAUCAAACAGG